rnacentral:lncRNA from 1 species
AGUCAGACUGCCUCAGACACAACACCCAGAAAUCUUCUAAAGCAGCUGUUGAUGUGUCGGCACGAGGCAACUCACGGAGGCAUACCAAGUACCUAUGACAAGUAAGACCGGAGGAGAGGACCAGACAGCAGGGAUGAGAUGGGAAACCAUGAAAGACCCACACAGCUAUGUUGUGGAUUCUUAGGAACUCCCUGUACUGGAGGAGGCGGCGAAAGGGCAGCUCAAAAGGAAAACAAGAGCAGCUUGGUAACCCCUGAGAAGCCUCUGUGCAUGUGGUCUUGUGUACACAAACAGACAUGAAGCCUGAGAGCAAAGCUGAAAAAUACAAUCACUGUGGUUUCUGGA